rnacentral:rRNA from 1 species
GUGUCAGCCGCCGCGGUAAUACGUAGGGUGCAGGCGUUAAUCGGAAUUACUGGGCGUAAAGCGUGCGCAGGCGGUUUCUUAAGUCAGAUGUGAAAGCCCCGGGCUUAACCUGGGAACUGCGUUUGAAACUGGGAGACUUGAGUGUGGCAGAGGGGGGUGGAAUUCCACGUGUAGCAGUGAAAUGCGUAGAUAUGUGGAGGAACACCGAUGGCGAAGGCAGCCCCCUGGGCUAACACUGACGCUCAUGCACGAAAGCGUGGGGAGCAAACAGGAUUAGAUACCCUGGUAGUCCACGCCCUAAACUAUGUCAACUGGUUGUCGGGAGAUUAACUCUCUUGGUAACGAAGCUAACGCGUGAAGUUGACCGCCUGGGGAGUACGGCCGCAAGGUUAAAACUUAAAUGAAUUGACGGGG